rnacentral:lncRNA from 1 species
CGUGUUUUUAUAAAUAUGGGUAGAUUUUAUGAGGCAAAAAUGACACACCUUCCUGAGAAUAUACAAAUAUAUUUAUUAAAAUAAACAAAAGUAGUCAUGAUUUCAGGUUAGAUGUACAAACAUGCAAAUGUUAAGGGGGCUCCUGGGUAUAAAUGAUUUUUUUUUUCUAAUAUAGGAUUUCGCUAUAUUUUUUCAUAAAUUAACUUUAUCAUAUACUUAAAAGA